GACAGCAGCAGCCACGGUAAUACGGAGGGUGCAAGCGUUAAUCGGAAUUACUGGGCGUAAAGCGCACGCAGGCGGUCUGUCAAGUCAGAUGUGAAAUCCCCGGGCUUAACCUGGGAACUGCAUUUGAAACUGGCAGGCUAGAGUCUUGUAGAGGGGGGUAGAAUUCCAGGUGUAGCGGUGAAAUGCGUAGAGAUCUGGAGGAAUACCGGUGGCGAAGGCGGCCCCCUGGACAAAGACUGACGCUCAGGUGCGAAAGCGUGGGGAGCAAACAGGAUUAGAUACCCGCGUAGUCCCUGUCUCUUAUAC
rnacentral:rRNA from 1 species